rnacentral:rRNA from 1 species
UGGGGAAUAUUUCACAAUGGGGGAAACCCUGAUGCAGCGACGCCGCGUGAACGAAGAAGGUAUUCGUAUCGUAAAGUUCUGUCCUAUGGGAAGAUAAUGACAGUACCAUAGAAGAAAGCUCCGGCUAAAUACGUGCCAGCAGCCGCGGUAAUACGUAUGGAGCGAGCGUUGUCCGGAAUUAUUUGGCGUAAAGGGUACGCAGGCGGUUUAAUAAGUCGAAUGUUAAAGAUCGGGGCUCAACCCCGUAAAGCAUUGGAAACUGAUAAACUUGAGUAGUGGAGAGGAAAGUGGAAUUCCUAGUGUAGUGGUGAAAUACGUAGAUAUUAGGAGGAAUACCAGUAGCGAAGGCGACUUUCUGGACACAAACUGACGCUGAGGUACGAAAGAGUGGGGAGCAAACAGG